GAUGAAGAACGUAGCGAAAUGCGAUAAGUAAUGUGAAUUGCAGAAUUCAGUGAAUCAUCGAAUCUUUGAACGCACAUUGCGCCCUCUGGUAUUCCGGGGGGCAUGCCUGUUCGAGCGUCAUUACAACCCUCAAGCUCUGCUUGGUAUUGGGCUCUGCCGGUCCUGGCAGGCCUCAAAGUCAGUGGCGGUGCCAUCCGGCUCCAAGCGUAGUAAUUCUCCUCGCUUCGGAGGCCGCGGUGCGUGCUAGCCAGCAACCCCCAACUUUCUUAGGUUGACCUCGGAUCAGGUAGGGAUACCCGCUGAACUUAAGCAUAUCAAUAAGCGGAGGA
rnacentral:misc_RNA from 1 species